AGCGAACGCUGGCGGCAGGCCUAACACAUGCAAGUCGAACGAACUCUUCGGAGUUAGUGGCGGACGGGUGAGUAACACGUGGGAACGUGCCUUUAGGUUCGGAAUAACUCAGGGAAACUUGUGCUAAUACCGAAUGUGCCCUUCGGGGGAAAGAUUUAUCGCCUUUAGAGCGGCCCGCGUCUGAUUAGCUAGUUGGUUGGGGUAAUGGCCCACCAAGGCGACGAUCAGUAGCUGGUCUGAGAGGAUGACCAGCCACAUUGGGACUGAGACACGGCCCAAACUCCUACGGGAGGCAGCAGUGGGGAAUCUUGCGCAAUGGGCGAAAGCCUGACGCAGCCAUGCCGCGUGUAUGAUGAAAGUCUUAGGAUUGUAAAAUACUUUCACCGGUGAAGGUAAUGACUGUAGCCGGAGAAGAAGCCCCGGCUAACUUCGUGCCAGCCGCCGCCGUAA
rnacentral:rRNA from 1 species